UAACGAAUCUUCCGCAAUGGGCGAAAGCCUGACGGAGCAAUGCCGCGUGUGGGAAUAAGCUCUUCGGAGUGUAAACCACUGUCAGGGGUUACCAAGCAAUGGGAGCUAAUAUCUCCCGGCGUUGAGGAGCCCCAGAGGAAGCCACGGCUAACUUCGUGCCAGCAGCCGCGGUAAUACGAAGGUGGCGAGCGUUAUUCGGAAUCACUGGGCUUAAAGAGCACGUAGGCGGAAUGCCAAGCGUCUUGUGAAAUCCCUCGGCUCAACCGAGGAAUUGCAGGGCGAACUGGCAUUCUUGAGGCAGGUAAGGGUGAGUGGAACUCUUGGUGGAGCGGUGGAAUGCGUAGAUAUCAAGAGGAACGCCGGAGGUGAAGACGACUCACUGGGCCUGUCCUGACGCUGAGGUGCGAAAGCCAGGGGAGCGAACG
rnacentral:rRNA from 1 species